rnacentral:rRNA from 1 species
UACGGAGGGUGCAAGCGUUAUCCGGAUUCACUGGGUUUAAAGGGAGCGUAGGUGGACUAGUAAGUCAGUGGUGAAAUCUUUGGGCUUAACCCGAAAACUGCCAUUGAUACUAUUAGUCUUGAAUAUUGUGGAGGUCAGCGGAAUAUGUCAUGUAGCGGUGAAAUGCUUAGAUAUGACAUAGAACACCAAUUGCGAAGGCAGCUGGCUACGCAUAUAUUGACACUCAGGCUCGAAAGCGUGGGGAUCAAACAGU